ACAUUGGUGGUGUAGUGAUAGCACGCUUCCCCGGUAUGGAUGAAACGCGAGUUCGACUCCCGGCUGAGGUC